UACGUAGGGGGCGAGCGUUUGUCCGGAUUUAUUGGGCGUAAAGAGCGUGUAGGCGGCUUGGCAAGUCGGGUGUGAAAACUUCAGGCUCAACCUGGAGCGGCCACUCGAUACUGCCAUGGCUUGAGUCCGGUAGGGGACCACGGAAUUCCUGGUGUAGCGGUGAAAUGCGCAGAUAUCAGGAGGAACACCGGUGGCGAAGGCAGGUCUCUGGGCCACUACUGACGCUGAGAAGCGAAAGCAUGGGGAGCGAACAGG
rnacentral:rRNA from 1 species